UUAGCGUGGGCUUUGCUGGAGAGAUCACUUGGCUUUGCAGUUGUGACACAGCUAGAUCUAAGCUUUUACACUUUGUUUGGCUACAAAGUGAUUGAAACUGCUACAUCAUUGGCAGAUUCUGCUAUAAAACUAACCAGCAUUACUGGAAUUAACCCUGACUGGUCAGCAUACUAUUUAACCUUGGACCUCCCUCUGAAA